AUUGAACGCUGGCGGCAUGCCUUACACAUGCAAGUCGAACGGCAGCACGGGAGCAAUCCUGGUGGCGAGUGGCGAACGGGUGAGUAAUAUAUCGGAACGUGCCCAGUCGUGGGGGAUAACGCAGCGAAAGCUGUUCUAAUACCGCAUACGAUCUAAGGAUGAAAGCGGGGGAUCGCAAGACCUUGCGCGAUUGGAGCGGCCGAUAUCAGAUUAGCUAGUUGGUGGGGUAAAGGCCCACCAAGGCGACGAUCUGUAGCUGGUCUGAGAGGACGACCAGCCACACUGGAACUGAGACACGGUCCAGACUCCUACGGGAGGCAGCAGUGGGGAAUUUUGGACAAUGGGCGCAAGCCUGAUCCAGCAAUGCCGCGUGCAGGAUGAAGGCCUUCGGGUUGUAAACUGCUUUUGUACGGAACGAAACGGCCCUUUCUAAUACAGGGGGCUAAUGACGGUACCGUAAGAAUAAGCACCGGCUAACUACGUGCCAGCCGCCGCCGUAAUAC
rnacentral:rRNA from 1 species